AAUAUCCUGCGGUGUGCGUUACGUUUUCGGUUAUAAACCCACAAAGUAACUUCGGGAGCGUUUCGUUGAGAAGACAAGGUCAGGCCCGUUACGGAUGGGAAGACCGCGGCGAUCACGGCGUACCCACCUGCCGAGAGGCGGGUGUUAUAAAGAAAGCGAACGGCACUUCGGGAUACUC
rfam:Clostridiales bacterium 43-6 SCNpilot_BF_INOC_scaffold_4969, whole genome shotgun sequence.